AAGUCCGGAAGGUGCUGCACAGCUGUGGCGGCGGGUACUGCGUUAGUGAUUAGAGUUUCUUCCCUGCCGGAGGUGGGAUACACGGUAGCAUCAUGGUCGAGGAGGUACAGAAACAUUCUGUACACACCCUUGUGUUCAGGUCAUUGAAGAGGACCCAUGACAUGUUUGUAGCUGAUAAUGGAAAACCUGUGCCUUUAGAUGAAGAGAGUCACAAACGAAAAAUGGCAAUCAAGCUUCGUAAUGAGUAUGGUCCUGUGUUGCAUAUGCCUACUUCAAAAGAAAAUCUUAAAGAGAAGGGUCCUCAGAAUGCAACGGAUUCAUAUGUUCAUAAACAGUACCCUGCCAAUCAAGGACAAGAAGUUGAAUACUUUGUGGCAGGUACACAUCCAUACCCACCAGGACCUGGUUAGUGAGCUGUUAUAUAUUGAAAAUGUCUUAAAAAUGUCACAUAUAUUUUCACUAAUGAGCCAAUAAUGAGAUUCUUGUUGCCUAUAAAAUGCAAGAUAAGCUCAAUAGCCAAGCAUCCAUGCAUAGCUUUGUAGGUGAUAAUGAAUACUCAUAUGCCUUCAUUCAGCAAACAUUCUUAAGUACGUAUAAUUUUUCAGGCAAUGUGCUAGGAAUUCAAAGACAGUAAAACUGUUGCAGGCCUAGUUAUUUAUUAUCUGGUGGUUUAGGCAGACAUGUAAAUAUCACUAAGCUUGUAAAAAUGAUGGAAAUGUUAGAAGCAGUAUCUGAGAAACAUGUCCUCUGUCUGUAUUAAGGCAUUGGUCCACAGAUGGAGUGGCCAGUAUAACGGUAGAGGACAAAAGGCUUAGUAUGUAAAGAAAGUACAGGGAAAUUGGGUGUUUCUAGUUUUAGUAAGUUACAUCCA
rnacentral:sRNA from 1 species